GAUGAACGCUAGCGGCAGGCCUAAUACAUGCAAGUCGAACGAUAGAAGAGGGCUUGCUCUCUUCGAAAGUGGCGCACGGGUGCGUAACGCGUAUGCAACCUACCUUAAUCAGGGGGAUAGCCCGAAGAAAUUCGGAUUAACACCGCAUAAAAACACAGUACAGCAUUGUACAAUGAUCAAAUAUUUAUAGGAUUAAGAUGGGCAUGCGUGACAUUAGCUAGUUGGCGGGGUAACGGCCCACCAAGGCGACGAUGUCUAGGGGAUCUGAGAGGAUGCCCCCCCACACUGGUACUGAGACACGGACCAGACUCCUACGGGAGGCAGCAGUAAGGAAUAUUGGUCAAUGGAGGCAACUCUGAACCAGCCAUGCCGCGUGCAGGAAGACAGCCCUCUGGGUCGUAAACUGCCUUUAUUCGGGAAUAAACCUACUUACGUGUAAGUAGCUGAAUGUACCGAAGGAAUAAGGAUCGGCUAACUCCGUGCCAGCCGCCGCCGUAA
rnacentral:rRNA from 1 species